rnacentral:rRNA from 1 species
GAUGAACGCUAGCGGCAGGCCUAAUACAUGCAAGUCGAACGAUCGUUUUUGGUUUACUAAAAACGGAGUGGCGCACGGGUGCGUAACACGUAUGCAACCUACCUUUAUCUGGGGAAUAGCCUUUCGAAAGGAAGAUUAAUACCGCAUAACAUUAUUGAAUGGCAUCAUUUAAUAAUCAAAGUUCAGGCGGAUAAAGAUGGGCAUGCGUAACAUUAGCUAGUUGGUAAGGUAAUGGCUUACCAAGGCUACGAUGUUUAGGGGGUCUGAGAGGAUGAUCCCCCACACUGGUACUGAGACACGGACCAGACUCCUACGGGAGGCAGCAGUAGGGAAUAUUGGGCAAUGGAGGAAACUCUGACCCAGCCAUGCCGCGUGAAGGACGAAGGCCCUAUGGGUUGUAAACUUCUUUUAUAUAGGAAGAAAAAGUUCUACGUGUAGAGCUCUGACAUUACUAUACGAAUAAGGAUCGGCUAACUCCG